UGAGUAACACGUAAGUAACCUACCCAUUGGACGAGGAUAACUACUGGAAACGGUAGCUAAUACUGGAUAGGUACUGCAACCGGAGGGGGGCAGUAUGAAAGGCCCAUGAAGGGCCGCCAAUGGAUGGGCUUGCGUCGCAUUAGCUAGUUGGUGAGGUAAGGGCUCACCAAGGCGAUGAUGCGUAGCCGACCUGAGAGGGUGACCGGCCACACUGGGACUGAGAGACGGCCCAGACUCCUACGGGAGGCAGCAGUAGGGAAUCUUCGGCAAUGGACGGAAGUCUGACCGAGCGAUGCCGCGUGAGCGAAGAAGGUCUUCGGAUCGUAAAGCUCUGUUAUGAGGGAAGAAGGACGUAGGCAGGCAAUGGCCUACGGGUGACGGUACCUCAUGAGGAAGCCACGGCUAACUACGUGCCAGCAGCCGCGGUAAUACGUAGGUGGCGAGCGUUGUCCGGAAUUAUUGGGCGUAAAGGGUGCGUAGGCGGUCCGUUAAGUCUAGUUUGAA
rnacentral:rRNA from 1 species